GGAUGAUCUACUGAAGUAUAAAAAAUGGAAAUAUUUUAUCAAUCUUGCUGGUCAAGAUUUUCCUUUAAAAACUAAUCUUGAAAUUGUUCAAAUUUUGAGGGCUUUCCGUGGAGCCAACAGUGUAUCUGGCGCGCCAUUCAGUGAGGCGGUCUGGAAAUCUAGGAUGUCUGCGACUGGUACUCCAAUAUCGGACAUUGUUCUAAUGCAAGGAUCUCAACAUAUUCUAGCCAGCCGAAAGUUUAUCACAUACAUUAGGACAGCACCAAAAGCUCUCCAGUUUGCUGAUUGGUUAAAAAAGGCAAAGCAUCCUCAUGAGACGUUUUUUAAUUCACUUUGUUUUAGUCCACAGUUGAAUAUUUCUGGGUGUUACAAAGGGACGAGAAAGAUGUUACUUGAGAGAGAAGCAAUGGCUAGAUAUAAAAUAUGGUCCACAGAUGGCGCCAAGUGUAACGGUAAAUGGACAAGAAGUAUCUGUAUAUUUGGUAUGGGGGAACUACCGGGUUUAACCAAGGCACCGCAUUUAUUCAGUAAUAAACAUCAUUCUGAUUAUCAACCCGUCACCCUUGAUUGU